rnacentral:tRNA from 1 species
GUAGAAGUGACAGAGCGGUUAAAUGUACUAGACUGUAAAUCUAGCGUUCAGAAAUGAGCUACAUAGGUUCAAAUCCUAUCUUCUACA